rnacentral:tRNA from 3 species
CGAGAUGUAGCUCAGCCGGUCAGAGCAGCGGCUUCAUAAGCCGAAGGUCGCGCGUUCGAUCCGCGCCAUCUCGACCA